AGAGAUGCUUUAGUGCCUUCGGGAACCGUGAGACAGGUGCUGCAUGGCUGUCGUCAGCUCGUGUUGUGAAAUGUUGGGUUAAGUCCCGCAACGAGCGCAACCCUUAUCCUUUGUUGCCAGCGGGUUAUGCCGGGAACUCAAAGGAGACUGCCAGUGAUAAACUGGAGGAAGGUGGGGAUGACGUCAAGUCAUCAUGGCCCUUACGAGUAGGGCUACACACGUGCUACAAUGGCGCAUACAAAGAGAAGCGACCUCGCGAGAGCAAGCGGACCUCAUAAAGUGCGUCGUAGUCCGGAUUGGAGUCUGCAACUCGACUCCAUGAAGUCGGAAUCGCUAGUAAUCGUAGAUCAGAAUGCUACGGUGAAUACGUUCCCGGGCCUUGUACACACCGCCCGUCACACCAUGGGAGUGGGUUGCAAAAGAAGUAGGUAGCUUAACCUUCGGGAGGGCGCUUACCACUUUGUGAUUCAUGACUGGGGUGAAGUCGUAACAAGGUAAGCGUAGUGCU
rnacentral:rRNA from 1 species